GGGUCGUUAGCGACUCAGUUGGUGAGAGCAGUUGACUUUUAAUCAAUUGGUCGCGGUUCCGAGAUACGACCCACCA
rnacentral:tRNA from 1 species